GCCCCGAAGCAGAGUCCUGAUUGGCCUCUUGGCCAGGGCGGGCGCCCAAGGGAGGUGGGCGGCCGCCCAGCUCCCGAGCCCGAUUCGCCUCCCGUUUGUUCCCGUGGCUUCUGGAUCCUUCUAGAUUGAGGAAAAUUGCGCGGCACGUAAUUAUCUCGUUGUAAACAUGACAUGUGGACCUUCUCUCCAUAUUUUCUGAUAAACCCCUGCAGAAAUAGAUAAACACCAAAGCUCGUGGCAUUCUGUCAGAUAAAACCCUAAUUCUAGAUGUUUGUUUCAUAUUGAUCCUUUUUCAUGUUUAUUUGAUUAUUAAUUUUAGUACUUAAGGACCGUCAACAGUGAUCUCCACUAGCUUUGAGUAGACACCUUAGUUUACUCUGCUUUGUAUGGAUUUUACUCCUCAGACACACACUGAGUCAUACUUAGCACGUGAGACUUCGACUGGAUAGGGGCUGUUGUUUUCUUACAGUGAGCUCACCGGCAUGCCGACACCUCUACCACAACAAGCUCUAGUGACCUCCACAGCUCCCAUUACUACUAUGGAGCUUCUGUCCUCAUUAGUGGCUUCAUCUGAGUAGCUUGUACAGACUACUACACUAGAGGCCUUAGCGACAGCUACAAAGUCUAUGUCAGACACAUCCACCAGAGUUGAGGCUGAGGUAGGCACCGAGACAGCAUAGCAGGCAGUUCUAGAGUCUUCAGGGCUGACCCGGACCACUUCUCCUACAUGUGGUGAUACUGAGGGUCAAGCAGAUGCUCAGCCUAGCAUAGCUUCCCAGAGAUCGACCGAUGAGGAUUCUGAUGUUGACUUGACUCGUUUGAGGCCGUUCCUCACGACUCAUCCGCUUCGCCUCCAUAGAUAGACUCUUAGGUUUUUGGCAUUUGAUGCCAAAGGGGGAGAGGGAGUGAGUAUGAUAGACUUAGGGGGAGCUAGUGAGAGGGUCUUUUGGUUCUUUGUGUGAUACUUCAUGCAUCAUAUUUACUUUUUAUGCAUUGUGUGAUACACUUUACUCUUUGGUGAUGCUUGAUGGAUGCUAGUCAUGACAUGUGUGCUAAAUGUUUAUCUCUCUAUGUCAUGUUGUUUGGCUCAUAUGCUUUGCUUCUGCGUUUUACUUCGAUUUCAUAUGAGCCACUUGUUUCUCCUAUUGCAGUCGACUUAUAUCUUUGGAUGCAGGAUGUUGGCUUGUGUUGAUGCAAAAAUAAAUCUACAAAAACAAAGGGCUAAUACCCAAUUUCGAUAUCAAGGCGUGCUAGCCAAUUUGACCUAUUAAUCGACAAAGGUGAUAUCUUGAAUACUUUGGUCCCGACAAUAGCGAUGCGCCCAGAUAUCAUGGCCAAGAGGUACUCAUGCGGAACCCGAGAAAUCGUCGAGUGUAACUCACCGAAUCCUUGAGAACUCGUAAAGAGAAAAAGUAUGCGAGUUGACGAAGUCGUCAAAAAGUAUAUCCAAAAGUAGGAAUUAACUUGUGUUUUGAUAUUGAUUGAUCUAUCUAUUACAUUGCUGUUGGGUCUAUAUUUAUACCCUAACUUAUCAAAGGCAGUUAGUAGAAAAUCCAUUUUAUUAUGUAUAACUUUUAGAGACGAUUCAUUUGUAUCUAGCCUUUGUUUAACUUUAUCAUUAAUUUUGGUUUGUUGAGCAAUUAUCUCUUUUAAUGAAAGUUGUUUGACAGUAUUACCUGAAUUCAUACCUUUGCUAUUGGGUUGACUCGAAGUUGGUUGAUAUUUAUAUGCUGUCUCAAUGGCCCUUUGAUCUUCUUUGAACUUGGCCCUCUGGUCAAUCCAAUGGAGCAAAUUUUCUAUCUUAGUUGAUAAUGCAUUUACUUCUUCUGGUAUUUCUUCAGUUUGAUGACAUUGUUGAGCUUUAGCUUGGAACCAGCUUUGGUUUUCUGCUAUCUUAUCCAAAAGUAUCUCUGCUUUUCCAGUUGUAAGCUCCAAGAAUGAUCCUUUAGCAGAUGCAUCUAGGCACUCACGAGCCUUCUGGGUUAAUCCAUGGUAGAAGGUCUGCAUAAGUAACCAUGUGGCCAUUCCAUGGUGAGGACAAUCGGAUAUGUAUCCUUGAAAACGCUCCCAUGCUUCUGAAAUGGCUUCUGUCUUCUGUUGUUGGAAACUGACAAUAUUUUCUCUUAAGGCAGUUGUUUUGCCUAUAGGGAAAAACUUUGAUAGAAAGGCAUCUGACAAGUUCGUCCAGUUGUUGAUGUUAUCUUGAUGAGUGUAGAACCACUUCCUCGCUUUUCCUUCUAGUGAGAAUGGAAAGAGGCGAAGCAGUAUGACGUCUUUGUCAAUUCCGUUGAUGUGGAUUGUGCUUCCAAUCUCUAAGAAAUUCUGCAAGUGUGCACUGGCAUCUUCAUGUGCCUUUCCACUGAAUUGUGUAGCUUGUACCAAAUUGAUGAGGCUUGACUUGAGCUCAAACUCAGGUAUUCCUUCUUCUACUGCAAAUCUUGGACCAGUUAGAAUGUUCUCAAGGCUUGGAGCAGAGAAUUCUUGUAGGGUCUUCUGUGCCAUAGCUUCAGCAAUUGGUAGCUAGCUUCUUCUUCUCUUGAUUGCUUUGGUUCUGAUGAUGAAGAGUUGAAUGUACCCAAAGUCAAUCCUGUUAUACCCUGUAUAAAAAUAUAAACAUAGAAAAACAACAGGGUGAACCUGCCAAAGCAGCGGUGCCUUGUUAUGAUUUCUCACUUAGUAGCUGUUUUAUGCAAUUAUUUCUCUAUAGUCUAGUCUAAUAUUUUAUGUGAAUAACCUUGAUUGAUUUUCUGGCUUUCCUUAAUAUUACCCUUUUGUUCCCUUUUAUGACUUAUUCCUGAGGCUCAUAUAAUUCCUAUAAGUCCCCGGCAACGGCGCCAGAAAUGCUUGUUGACACUAACUAACACCACUUAGAUACUAGGUUGUCAUCCCUAGCAUGGCGCCAGAGUGUACAAAGGUAUUUAUAAAUGUAAAGGCUCUAUAGAAAAUAAUCUAUUCUAUCCGCAAGCGCACAGAUAAAACACCUCAUUGUAGCAUUUCACCAGGAUAAGUAUUCCAGGUAUCGUUAUUUAUAAUUUUGCUCUAGGGAUCUCAAGAAGAUGGAAUUUAAUCAAGGGACAAAAUCUACCAAGGCAUAGACUAGAGAUAAACUUGCAAGAACAUGAUUACUAAUGAGAAACUCGUCACACAGUCACUUACUUUAGCAGGGGGUAAACCAUAAAGAUAAUGAUAAUAAAGUAUAAGUUCAUGGGUAGAUAGCACAGCGAUUAGAAAAUAGACUACUCCUCAUAUAUGUAGGUGAUGUCGGAUUAGCUAGAGAAUGGAUUCUAAGUUAUCUACUAACUACUAAGUCAUAAUCUACUCUAGUUAUCUACAAGAUCAUAUAUAGCAUAAAAGACUCUUCAUUCAUGUAUAAGGAACAUUGAUAAAGUAAAUCAGAACAUCGCAUGACUUACUCCACAAUACCGGUUCUGCCUGUCCUAUCAACGGAGGGUGGACUAUAUAAGAAUCAACGAAGCUGUCACUAUCGCGAACUACCACACGACUCGGCCAAUAGGAUACAUUUGCAGAUAAAUAACAUCUAAGCACCACGCUCACAUGUGAUCUAUCACUUAACUCCCUCGCGACAAGAGCUAAGCGCUUUGCAAACUUAUACAUAAACUCAUUAUCAAUUAGAACUAUAUCAAAUAUAGAACUAGAGCAAACUAAGAACAUAAUAAUUAGAGACAUAAUGCAAUUAGAACAAUAGAAUUAGAGAAAGAUAUAAAUAAUACCAAUCUUUAUUACCGAAGAUCCGAAUCCAGAGCGUAGUGCUCUACUUCUCUAAUUGCUAUCUAAUCAACCUCUAAACUUGAAGGAUUAGGGAGUAGCUAAUUCUAAUUCUCUGUGGGAGAGAGAUCUAAACCCUAACUUUGAUGGCUACCUCUGAAUAAUGAUUUCUCCUCUCUCCUCCAGGGGCCAGGGGGUCUGGUUUUAUAGUCCCCUCAAGUGAACGUGGGCCGUCAGAUCAAACCAAAAUAGAUUGUAUGGUUUAGAUUGAUCCUUUAGGUCGGUGGAGUCUUGCCCCGAAGCAGAGUCCUGAUUGGCCUCUUGGCCAGGGCGGGCGCCCAAGGGAGGUGGGCGGCCGCCCAGCUCCCGAGCCCGAUUCGAGUCCCGUUUGUUCCCGUAAAUGAUAGUGAUGGUGAAAAUGCAAUAGUGUUAAUAAAUCUUAGUUCUCAUUGCUCCUCAUAUUGCUAUCUCUCCUCUUAUUUUUUAUCUUUGCUUUGGGAGAACAUGGGCUAUCUUUUUCUUUUCUUUUCUCUUUCUUUUUUUUUCAGGCGGGUAGUAGAUACCCCUAAUUAUACUGUCGGACACUUGUCCAUUUUUUCCGCUCAAGUGGGUAUCUUUGUACCCCUAAUUCUACUUCGGACACUUGUCCAUUUUUUCCUCUCGUCUCACUCUUUUUCUUUCUUUUCCAAGGUUCCCGGGCACUUGCCCCUUUUUAUUUCCUCGUAUAUUUUUGCAUAACCCAUGCCUCUUCUGCAUUGAAUCUUUUUAGAGAGAGAGAAUAACAAUACUUGGGACAGUGAGUGAUAAUAUUUUUAGCAAUUUUAAUGAAUGGUGGUGGAUGCUCUGGUAGAUGUGUGCAAGUGAAUAUCUAAAUUUAACCACAUGAAAAGCUCCUAAGGGUCGACACAGCUCGAUCAAACUCAAUGUAAAUAUAGUAAAAGAUGUUAUAGCAAGUAUGGCUGUGGUAGGUAGUUUUGUUAUGCUAGGAACUCAUCAUAUGAUUUGUAAGUUUUUAAAAUAAAUCUCCAGAACUUAGUGUAGUAGAAACAAGAUAAACAGUAGCUCAACUUUAUAUCAUGCGUUUCUCUUACCUAGACUUUAGUUUUAUGCUUCCCAAAGAUAGUAAUUUUAGUUUUAGUAAUUCCUGGAAGAAUUCUAAUAUAAAAGCUAGGUACUUGUAAGUAAGCAAACAGAGCAACUAUUUAUCAUUUCCAUCAUGCAUAUUUUUGGUCUUUUUAUUUUUUUAGAGAUUAAAUUUAGUAGAAAAAUAAAACACACUUAUCUACGCACUCUUUUUAUUUUAUUUUCAUGUUUAUAAAGUGCAGUAAAUUAAAGCAAGAAAAUAUUUAUUUGGUUUUCUAAGUUUUUUUUUCUUUUAAGAUAAAUAAAAUACUAAGACAGAAUAGAAUAAAUAAGAAGAGCAAAUAAAAACUUACUUGAUAAAUUAGGGAGGAACUCCCCCAAGCUGGAUGUUGACGUGGGUCUUACCCGAUGUUCCAGAACCGCAUCAUGGUUGUGAUGUUAUCGUUCAUUGUUGUUGUAUCUUGUCUCAGCUCUUGUACCGCAGCGGCAUGGUCCUGGUUCCAUUUUUGUUGCUCUUCCAGGAGUCUUCCAUGUUCUGCUUGCGUGUUCUGGAUGUCGAGGAGGGUGUUGUCGGUACGAGUGAAGAAAGCACCGGCCUCUUGAUAGUAGUCAUUCGUGAAGGCGUAGGAGGCGUCGGAGUAUCGUCUGCAUCAAAUUGGGGUGGAGGUCUGGAUCCUGAAGCUCCAUAUGGAUCAGUGGAGUACCUGCCCGUAUGAAAAGGCGGGUUUGUCCACUGGUGAUCUUGGCUCUCCGGCCAUGUCUCCUCUGUUGGCUCUUGUGGUUGCGCAUGACGAGCCCAUGGGUCUCGAAGGACUCGUGGAUUGUAAUCGCAAUAAUGUAGGUGUGCUGCUUCUUCUGGUCCAGGGUCAGCUCCAUACCAAGUGCGUUCUCGGUGAGUGGUUAUCCUUUC
rnacentral:lncRNA from 1 species